rnacentral:rRNA from 1 species
GACGAACGCUGGCGGCGUGCUUAAGACAUGCAAGUCGUACGAGAAAGUCUCUUCGGAGACGAGUAAAGUGGCGCACGGGUGAGUAACGCGUGGGUAAUCUGCCCUUAGGUUUGGGAUAACCCCGGGAAACCGGAGCUAAUACCGAAUGAGACCACGAUGACUUCGGUCGAUGUGGGAAAAGGUGGCCCCUUCUUGCAAGCUAUCGCCAAAGGAUGAGCCCGCGUUUGAUUAGCUAGUUGGUGAGGUAAUGGAUCACCAAGGCGACAAUCAAUAGCUGGUCUGAGAGGAUGAUCAGCCACACUGGAACUGAGAUACGGUCCAGACUCCUACGGGAGGCAGCAGUCAGGAAUAUUGGGCAAUGGGCGAAAGCCUGACCCAGCAACGCCGCGUGAAGGAUGAAGGCCUUCGGGUCGUAAACUUCUGUCGAGAGGGAAGAAUGCGUACGGGUAAAUAAUCCGUGCGUUUGACGGUACCUCCAAAGGAAGCACCGGCUAACUCCGUGCCAGCAGCCGCAGUAAUAC